AAAUAAGUUGUACUUAAAAUGGAAAACAACCUUGUUGAUCUUUGAAUAUCUGUGGUGGAGAGUAGCUCUAGUUGGUUUUCGCUCUUGAGAGCCAUCUCCCACCCACCCCCACCCCCGUCAGUAGGGUUGGGCUGUGCUCUCAGCCACUCACUGGCUUUUGUGUCUUGCACAAGCUCUGCCAUGCACCAAACAGGCUUGGCGGUUUCCUCUGGGUUUUCCAGAGUUGUUCUUACUAGUGAAGCAGAAAGACCUCCCUUCCCAGUGACAUGUUUGGCUGUAGAUUGGAGUUUGUGUAUGUGGUUUUCUUUCCUUUCCGUUAGACUAAGUGCCCCUCCACAUUCUUUAUACUUGCUGGAGGUGCUGAACUGCUCCCCCAAAACGUGCAGCCCUAGUUUCCCUGCAACAGGGAACCAGAGCUGCUCUAGGCCAGAUCGGCACCUUCUAAUAGAAAGCACUGUUCAGCAAUCUCCCCAGGGGCUGCUGAGACAAUCCCCUUGCCGCCAUAUCAGCAUCUUCCUCUGUCCCCUCUCUUCCUGAUCCCUGCAUAUUCCACUAGGAAAAGGUGACCUAGUGUCAACUCCAAAUGACACAGGACAUCACCCACCCCUGAAUUCAAUUCCCAAAGUUUUACUCAGUGACUCAGUCAUUUGGUUGAUGUUAUCUUCUUGCUUGAUUUCCUCUUUUGGAAAAUCCCAGUACUAAAGAAGGUCUCAGAUGUUCUUGUAGAGGAAGAGAUUUCUUUGGUUCAUGAUUAAAGGUAUCCAUCUCUUCAGACUCAGUGCUUAAAAGUUGAAGUCGCAGAGUUUUACAGUGUUCAGGUAAGUCCGUCACCUAAUUGCACCUGCUCAAGAGUUAAAGCUCCUAGGACAUAGUGAGUCGUUAAGCUGUUGGAAUCAUAAGAACUAUUUUCACUCAAUUUAACUGACCUCAAAUAUAGGCUCUUAGCACUUGGAGGAAGGUGGAGAAUUGUAUUGCUGAGGACCCUUUUGGUGGUGACAGAGACUCCAAACUUACAUGACUUAAGCACAGAAGUGGUUGUAAUAGACUUCCCGUAACAGGAAGGUGACCAUGGAGCUGGCCUCAGUGUCAACUCAACCCAGGGAGCAGCAUCAGGCAUCUGUCUUCUUCUGCCCUUCUCUCAUCUUGGCUUCUGCCUCAAGCCUGAUCUCCUGCUCAGCAGCUCUUUCACAUGCUAGGGGACAUGGGGACAGGCAGCUCUGGAGCCACAUCCUUCUGGCUAGAGUUCCCAAGGGAAAAGGUAAAUAUCCCUACCAACUGCUAUAAGGAAAAUCUCAGCAAGGGGCUUGGGUCGGCCCUGCUUGAGUCGGCCCUACUUGGGUCACAUGCUCACUGGCUAACCCUGUGGCCGGGUGUGUGUGUGUGUGUGUGUGUGUGUGUGUAGUGCUCUGAAUGGCUGCCACACCAGAGUUACAGGACAAGUGGUUGUUGGGGGCGCUUGGGGGAGACAGGGGAGUUUUUACACAAGCAAGAGUGCGGGCAGGUGCCAAUAGAAGGCCUGAAACAGCCUUUCCGCAGAGAAGCAAAUAUGGAACUGAGGUUUGCAACGUAUGGGUCUGUGAUAAUUAUCUGGUUCUGUCCUCCAAGUGUGGAGACUGAGGUGCAGAAAGAUCUGCCUGGGGCUAUAAACAGCAGAGAGCACCCCCACACAGGGUCAAGGAUGUUGGCAGUGUUCCGCUGCAGCUUGGGCUUCACUUGCAGCUAAAUGUUUCAUCUCAAAUGCAUACAUAGUAGAUUUUGAGUUUCUGCCAAAAACUCAAGAAGUCACAGGAGCGUAAAGCAGACAUUGUGGUAGAGAGCAUUUAUUGGUCAUUUGUUUUCUCACUUGUAGAGAAAUGGCUAUUAUGUGGCAGCAGAAAUGUUUUAGCUAAUAAAAGCUCAGAGUCUUGAAUUGAAAAACAAAGUAGAAAUAGAGGUGAAUCAUUCAGAAAAAAUCAGCUGGAGUAUUGAAAUGAUGCCGUAAUAAAAGCCCUUUAUUAACGCCAACAUUACCUGAGUAAUUUAGAUUUAUUUCAUAGUUAAUCUUUAUGUGAUAUCAUUGAAAAAUCAAGGGUCUCUAGUAAAUAAUUAAGCUUAAAAGUUGUAUUUUCAGUACAGUUUCUUUUUAACAAGAUUAUUUCUAACCCAUGGACUCUGCAUAACUGGCUUUCAUAUGAUUUAUUUGGUUUUAUCCAAUAAGCUAAAAUGUUGAAUACUUACAGUUUUGAGAGUCUAAGCGUCUUGCAUUUAACAUCAUAAAUUCAGGCUCAUUAUUGGAAUAUUUUGAGCUAGACAGAACUUUAAAUUCUGAAUUUAAAUUCUGGUUCUGCCAGUUAUUAGCUCUUAACCUUGGGCAAUAUUACCAAGUUUUUGUCUAUAAUACGGCCAUAAUGAGCACCCUCUCUUAGGAUCAAUGGAGGACUCAAUGAGAUCAGAUACGAAAAGGCACCUGUUCUGUACUAGGCUUCAAUAAAUGUCCUAGUCAGAAAAAAAGGCUUUAGUUAAGCUUAAAGUUGAGUUAGGAACAGCAAGUCUCUUAAAAAGACAUUAGCCAAAAUUUGAGCUAAUAUAUGAAGAUGGAUCUAAUAUCUUUUUAUGAAGUGAAUAAAUUACAAUCUUAAGAUGUAUGUUGAUACUCUUUAAAAGUGUAUACUGAAUUUGUUCAAAAUAAAUCAGUUGUAUAUAGAGUUAUGAAACAAUAAUAGUGAGAUAAUAUACAACAUCUACAAACACUAAAAAAGUAACAAGUGUAGGCAAAUAGGUACUGUUGUUAUUAUUGAAGAUGAUAAUACUGUUAGAAGGAAGAAGUCAAGAAGAAACAAGGUGAAACAGGGUCAAGUUGUAAACUGUCCUGAUUCCAUAGGCAGAGAAACAGAAGGUGGAGGCACACAUGAUGGGAAAACUUAGAACAGGUAGCCAUCCUAUUUAUAGGCCAGGUUGGUCAGGGCAACUUCCUGAGUCUGUCUUUGCCAAGGUGAUUUUGGUGCUGAUAAACUCUUCCCUGGGCUGCCUGAGGGGCAUCCAGGGCAAAUUCCCAGGUUGACAGAUGGGAACAAGUUUAUAGAGUUCAGAAAAGCCUGGUCUAGGGCGUCAUCCGCUCUAGUGGCUGCUGGAAGCCAGUCACUGCACAUCCCACAGGAUGACACGGCAGUCGUAAAGCUGGAGAUGAUGGCUACUGAUUACUGUCCAGAAGCUUUCUGCACCUGAAGAGUGGACUCAACACACCCUCUAUGGUCCUAAAAAACAGGAACAAAUAGGGGACAAUGAAGACCCCUAUGAAGCCAAAUACUAUAGUAUAAAGAGGAAGGCUUUACAUCCCAGGUCAGAAGGGUGAGAAGGAUGAGAUUUUCUUAAGCACUAACAGGAUAUUGAAUAUGGAAAGACUGUUUUAAGAGUCAUGGGAAUUCUGCUGAGGAAAGGGGGCAGGAGAACAGUGUGGUGAGUAAGGUGCCUUUUCCAGAAAGAAGCAACACCUGCCCUUUCACUUCCUUCGUUUACUUACGCGUCACUUGUAUUUGCUCAUUUGUGGCCAGUGCGCGGAGAUUUCGUAAGAAUGGGGUUGCGCUCGCUUUUUAGUGCCAUGCUACUUGAAGCAGUUAAUAUGUUUAUGGAUAACGUCUCAUUACUGCCUUUUAAGUCACAUUCCAGACCCGAUACAUCACUUCGAUAAUAACACACCUGUCGGCGUGACUCAGAACCCGCACCCUCUCAGGCUGUCACAGGCUGCUCUUCAAACAGCCCCACGGCCUUCUGCCUCUGUGCUGAUAAUCGUUGUGCCAUAAACCACGGUGGUGUCUCCAGCUAUGUGCCCAUCCCCACACCCCACUGGCCCCACUUUCUUCUGGCCUGGCAUGCGGUCAAGCCUCAGAGGCCUCUGCAGCUCCCGGGACUGCCUGGCGGGUGUUCUGCCCUCAAGAUGUUGACCCAACCCGUGGCCCAGGAGCCGGAGAGGGUGAGGGCCCGGUUUGGGUCAAUGCCACCCCCUUGGCUUCCAUGCCUGGUUUAGAAGUUUUAUUACAUGGGAAUGGUGUAGCUCAGGGGGUGGACAAAGGGAUGGUAAAGGAUGCCUCAGGGUCUUGGUGCUGGGAGUCUCCCCACCUUGGCUGGAAUCCAGCCCUGCAGGGUAAUGGCUGGAUGUUAGCAGUUGCAGGAGGCCAUGUGAUGGAGACCUGAAAUGAAACCAGAGGCUCCAUCCUGGUGAGCAAGCAUGGUCCUGUGUCUAAGAAGGCUCUCACACAUGACAGGUACAGCAGAGAAGCCAGAAAUAAGAUUGCUUUGGAGGCGUUCCUGUUGUGGUUCAGUGGAAACAAAUCUGACUAGUAUCCAUGAGGACACGGGUUCGAUCCUUGGCCUCACUCAGUGGGUUAAAGAUCUGGCAUUGCCAUGAGCUAUGGUGUAGGUCACAGAUGUAGCUCAGAUCUGGUGUUGCUGUGGCUUGGUGUAGGCUAGAGGCUACAGCUCUGAUUGGACCCCUAGCCUGGGAACCUCCAUAUGCUGCAGAUGUGGCCCUGAAAAAAAAAAAAAGAUUGCUUUGGAAACCAUAGAUCCUUUUUCCCAGAGUAGAGGCCACAUUAUGGGAGGGACAUGUUAGGAGUAAGAAAUAAAUGAAUAAAUUUAGUGAAAGUUUAAAUGUAUUCAUUAAUAAAGCUAAAUCUCAUAAGUCAAUUUGAUAAGUGAAUUUGAAUCAGUGUUGUUGGAAUCUAAAUCUCCUGGUGAUAUGACUAGUUUCAAAGUACUACUUUUGUAUUAUCCCCAAAACUUGAUAAAUCUCUAAUUUGUUGUGUAAAAUCAUAGGAGGUUCUGACACACCUGGCCAGGACACCCAGGUAUGUGUGUCUGUUCUGCGAGGCUUUCUAUAACCAUGCCCAUUGUACCAGUCACGUCUACUUCUGAUUUACUUUUAUGAAAGACAGACUAUCUGAUCCAUUAUGUGUUAUUUUUAGGCAUCUUCUAAUAAUAACAGCCUAAAAAUAUAUAUCUGUGUAUUUCUUAAAGUUUUAAGUUGGUUGUAAUAUUGAUAUUAUUAUUGUUUUACUGUUUAUCAUCAUACAUUAGCCAUUUCACUGCUAGUUUUCACAGCCUUGUUUGGUUUGUGAGAACUAGUCUUUUUUUUUGAAGGUGCCUGCAGCAUGCAAAAGUUCCCACACCAAGGAUCAAACCCAUGCCACAACAGUUUACAACACUGGAUUCUUAACUCACUGUGCCACAAGGGAACCUCCUGCAAGAACAACUCUUAUUCAAGAGUAACUAAAGUAUAGAAAAACGUUGAACAAUAUGUUCUAAAUAUCAACAGUAGUUAUCUCUAAGCUGACGAUUACAAGUGACUUUUAUUUUCCUCUGUCCUCUUUUUCGUAUGUUCCAAAUAGUUCCAUAAUAAAAUAUUUAUAUUUGUUCAGUGCUUUCUCUACAUCAGGUUCUAUGCAAAGUCUUUUAUGAUUAUCAUUACAUAAUAUCUUCACAACAACUCUGUAAGUGAGGUCCUAUUAUAAUCCUCACUUUACACAUGAAGAAGCUAAAGAGUUUAAAUAAAUUUGAUCAAGAUCUCAUAAAUGGUAGGGCCAGAAUUCAAACCCAUGUAUAUCUGAUUCUAGAACUUAGGUUAUUAACCACUGUAUUAAACUUCAUUUCUUUUGUAAUCAGAAACACACAACACAAUUUUUUGUUGUUGUUUUUUGUUGGUUGUUGUUGUUGUUGUCUUUUUAGGGCUGCACCCACAGGAUAUGGAGGUUCCCAGGCUGGGGGUCUAAUCAGAGCUGUAGUCACUGACCUACACCACAGCUCACAGCAACACUGGAUCCUUAACCCACUGAGCGAGGCCAGGUUUGCUGUGUCCUCAUGGAUACUAGCCAGAUUCAUUUCCACUCAGCCAUGACAGGAACUCCCACAACACAAUAUUUAAUUCUAAAAAUAAAUAAUAAACACCAGUACUGCAUUUAGCAUAUAACUUUCAUGAAAAAAUAUUAAAUGUACACCCAAAUUUCCAGGCACAUCUACUAAGGUUACAAUCUGAGAGCUGAAUGAGAAAAAACUUAGGAUUUACUUGAAUUGAGGCUCACCAUUUUUAAUCCACUUAAAAGUGUUAUUUCCUCAUGACAUCGGCUUCUGUGAAGUUUAGAAAUACAUGAGAAAAAGAGAGUUGGGAAAUAGACAUAGAAAUUAUUCAAAUAAUGAAAAAUAAAUCUUUAAACAAUGACAAUGGAAUUUGGGUUGUUUCUGAUUUUUGUGGUUUGUCUUGUUUUCUGCCUGAAGAAGACAAGGUUGCAGGAAAAUGAAACCACGAUUUUGAAAUAAAGGAAGAACUCUGGUGGAGUUAGUGGGAGCAGCUGUUCUCCAGUCUCAAACCGUAUCUGGACUGUUAGGUUCAGUUCUAGGUACCUCAUGUUAAGAGAGACCUUGAUGAAGUGGAGUGUGUCAGAUAGGGAUGAGCGUGUUCAGAUGUACCUAGAUACGACCACAUGUGAGUUACAGUUGCCAGAACUCUGGUGGUCCAGGGGAAAGACUUAGGGAAACAAAGAUCUGGGUUCAAAGCUAUGAAGUUAGUUCUGUCAUGUCAAAGAGGGAUUAGGCUUGUUCUGUAUCACACCAGAGGGCAAGACUAAGACCUUGAGGUCAGGCAUCAGUUCAAUAUAAAAAGAAAUUCAGAACCAGAGUUCCCGUCGUGGCUCAGUGGUUAAUGAAUCCAACUAGGAACCAUGAGGUUGCAGGUUCUAUCCCUGACCUUGCUUGGUGGAUUAAGGAUCCAGCAUUGCCGUGAACUGUGGUGUAGGUUGCCAACAUGGCCUGGAUCUGGCAUCUGUGGCUGUGGUGUAGGCUGGCAGCUACAGCUCCAAUUAGACCCCUAGCCUAGGAACCUCCAUGUGCCACAGGUGCGGNAAAAAAAAAAAAAAAAAAAAAAAAAAAAAAAAAAG
rnacentral:lncRNA from 1 species